rnacentral:rRNA from 1 species
CCUACGGGUGGCAGCAGUGAGGAAUAUUGGUCAAUGGCCGGAAGGCUGAACCAGCCAAGCCGCGUGAAGGACGAAGGUGCCAAGCAUUGUAAACUUCUUUUGUCAAGGGACAAAAUCAGGCGCGAGAGCCUGACCGAGGGUACUUGAAGAAAAAGCAUCGGCUAACUCCGUGCCAGCAGCAGCGGUAAUACGGAGGAUGCGAGCGUUAGCGGGAUUUAUUGGGUUUAAAGGGUGCGUAGGCGCGCUGUUAAGACAGCGGUAAAAGCCCGGGGCUCAAACCCGGCGAGCGGUUGAAACUGGCUGUCUUGAGAUGUCGAGAGGUAUGCGGAAUGCGAAGUGUAGCGGUGAAAUGCUUAGAUAUUGCGCAGAACUCCGAUUGCGAAGGCAGCAUACCGGCGGGGAUCUGACGCUGAGGCACGAAAGCGUGGGUAUCGAACAGGAUUAGAUACCCUUGUAGUC